CUGCAAUCAAUUAAACCAGUUGGACUUCUCUCCUCAUGGGGCCCACUGGGCAAUAGCUGCAAACAGCAGCCUUCUUUGGUAGUGGAUGCAGACCUGUUGCUUAUAUAGAUUGCUAUAAUGGACCAUGGAGACAGUC
ensembl:snoRNA SNORA70 Small nucleolar RNA SNORA70